AGUGAACGCUGGCGGUAGGCCUAACACAUGCAAGUCGAACGGCAGCACAGGAGAGCUUGCUCUCUGGGUGGCGAGUGGCGGACGGGUGAGGAAUACAUCGGAAUCUACCUUUUCGUGGGGGAUAACGUAGGGAAACUUACGCUAAUACCGCAUACGACCUACGGGUGAAAGUGGGGGACCGCAAGGCCUCACGCGAUUAGAUGAGCCGAUGUCCGAUUAGCUAGUUGGCGGGGUAAUGGCCCACCAAGGCGACGAUCGGUAGCUGGUCUGAGAGGAUGAUCAGCCACACUGGAACUGAGACACGGUCCAGACUCCUACGGGAGGCAGCAGUGGGGAAUAUUGGACAAUGGGCGCAAGCCUGAUCCAGCCAUACCGCGUGGGUGAAGAAGGCCUUCGGGUUGUAAAGCCCUUUUGUUGGGAAAGAAAUCCUGUCGAUUAAUACUCGGUGGGGAUGACGGUACCCAAAGAAUAAGCACCGGCUAACUUCGU
rnacentral:rRNA from 1 species